rnacentral:rRNA from 1 species
UACAGAGGGUGCGAGCGUUAAUCGGAAUUACUGGGCGUAAAGCGCACGUAGGCGGCUUUGUAAGUUAGAGGUGAAAGCCCGGGGCUCAACUCCGGAAUUGCCUUUAAGACUGCAUCGCUAGAAUUGUGGAGAGGUAAGUGGAAUUCCGAGUGUAGAGGUGAAAUUCGUAGAUAUUCGGAAGAACACCAGUGGCGAAGGCGACUUACUGGACACAUAUUGACGCUGAGGUGGCGAAAGCGUGGGGAGCAAACAGG